CAGCAAUUGUUUGUUUGAUAUUUUUCCUAAGGAACGUUCCAAUCCAACAAGCCCACAGAAUGGCUGUACGAAUUCUGGUGGGCUCCCAGUGAAUGCCGUAUAAUAGUGGCCUAGCGUCAACGAAGCGUAGGAACAUGCUUCGUUGUCAAGACGAUCCAGGAUAUAAUUUUCACUCCAUUUUGGGCUACAGUCAAAGCCAUACGUAGUAAAGUGACAGCAAAGAUGAAGCAACCAACCCCGAAGCCCCUACCAAAUCCCCCAGAUGUAGACAUCGAUUUGCUCAACCAAGUGACUCUGUCCCACGACACAACUCCAGCCUCCUCGGUCCCCUCGACUUCUUCAAAUGCUUCGUGCACAGAAGGAUCCUGUCGGAGAUGACGCGGACAAUGAAUGAAUGACAGCACUGCAUCCUCUGUUGGAAAACUAUACUGUCCGUAGUUUUUCUCACAUAAUUGAUAUCCUCAGCCUUUGUAAAAUAAGUUAUUUUGGCACUUUAACACACAGGUCCACACAUGAAUCUAGUUCACUUUGUACGUAUCACAAAAAAGAACAAAAUCAGGCCGUUGCUGAAUGCUUUUCCGUUAUUUUCUGUGCGUACUUUGCCCCCAGUUCAUAACUUUCACAAAAGAUUGCAAACCAAAUAUUUUCUGGGGAACCUGAAAAAUUCCAUCAAAUAAUCACGAUUUGAUGUUUUAAUGUUUCUAUACCACCAGCCGUCGAAUUAAGGAUGUAAUUAACUACCAUUUCCAACAUUGUCGUUUAGAAUGGAAAAUGACACGGAAUAUGUAUGUGUUGCUGUAAUUUUUUUUCAAUUAUAGGCCCACAAAAUCACAAAUGACGUGACAUCACUAAAAUUUAGUUCCCCGGUUUCACUUUGUAAUGGUAUCGACUGUCAAAGUUUUGG
rnacentral:lncRNA from 1 species